rnacentral:hammerhead_ribozyme from 1 species
AUCCAGCCUACGAGUCCCAUAUAAGACGAAACGCGAGUCCUGAAU